CGAGUGGUGAAAUUGGUAUACACGACGGAUUCAAAAUCCGUUUCCUUCGGGAGUGUCGGUUCAAGUCCGACCUCGGGCA
rnacentral:tRNA from 1 species